GGGUGCGAUCAUACCAGUGUUAAUGCAUCAGAUCCCAUCAGAACUCCGUUGUUAAGCGUGCUUGCGCUAGAGUAGUACUGGGAUGGGUGACCUUCCGGGAAGUCCUAGUGUUGCACCCU
rnacentral:rRNA from 1 species